rnacentral:rRNA from 1 species
UCCGGUUGAUCCUGCCGGAAGUCACUGCUAUUGGGGUUCGACUAAGCCAUGCGAGUCUAUGGACUUCGGUCCAUGGCGGACGGCUCAGUAACACGUGGCUAACCUACCCUCGGGUGGGGGAUAACCUCGGGAAACUGAGGAUAAUACCCCAUAGGAGAAGAGGUCUGGAAUGAUCCUUCUCUGAAAACAUAUGUGCCCGAGGAUGGGGCUGCGUCUGAUUAGGUAGUUGGUGGGGUAACGGCCCACCAAGCCUACGAUCAGUACGGGCCUUGAGAGAGGCAGCCCGGAGAUGGGGACUGAGACACGGCCCCAGGCCCUACGGGGCGCAGCAGGCGCGGAACCUCCGCAAUGCACGAAAGUGCGACGGGGGGACCCCAAGUGCUUACGCACUGCGUAGGCUUUUCUAAAGUGUAAAAAGCUUUAGGAAUAAG